rnacentral:rRNA from 1 species
AGGUCCAUGCAGUGGCAACACUGCGGAAGACCUAGUGGCGAACGGGUGAGUAACACAUGAGGAACCUGCCCCGAAGACCGGGAUAACCCUCCGAAAGGAGAGCUAAUACCGGAUACCCCCACCUGGUCGCAUGGCCGGGUGAGGAAAUGGAUUCCGCUUCGGGAGGGCCUCGCGGCCUAUCAGCUAGUUGGUGAGGUAACGGCUCACCAAGGCAUCGACGGGUAGCUGGUCUGAGAGGACGAUCAGCCACACUGGGACUGAGACACGGCCCAGACUCAUACGGGAGGCAGCAGUGGGGAAUCUUGCGCAAUGGGCGAAAGCCUGACGCAGCAACGCCGCGUGGGGGAUGAAGGCUCUCGGGUUGUAAACCCCUUUCAGCAGGGACGAAAUUGACGGUACCUGCAGAAGAAGCCCCGGCUAACUACGUGCCAGCAGCCGCGGUAACACGUAGGGGUUUUUUCGUUGUCCGGAUUUAUUGGGCGUAAAGAGCUCGUAGGUGGCUAAGUAAGUCGGGUGUCAAAUCCCCAGGCUCAACCUGGGUCUCCACCCGAUACUGCUUUGGCUAGAGUCCGGUAGGGGAGCGUGGAAUUCCUGGUGUAGCGGUGAAAUGCGCAGAUAUCAGGAGGAACACCAGCGGCGAAGGCGGCGCUCUGGGCCGGUACUGACACUGAGGAGCGAAAGCGUGGGUAGCAAACAGGAUUAGAUACCCUGGUAGUCCACGCCGUAAACGUUGGGCACUAGGUGUGGGGUCUAUUCAACGGACUCCGUGCCGUCGCUAACGCAUUAAGUGCCCCGCCUGGGGAGUACGGCCGCAAGGCUAAAACUCAAAGGAAUUGACGGG